AAUUAUACUCUAUCGGUCUUACUAAUAAAAAUAUGUUAAACAACUGUUUAACGUCUAAUUACUUAUUCAAUGAAUAAGGCGUGAAUAGCUAGAUAUACACUACUUUACUAAUAAACAGUGUAUAAGCCUUGAGUAACUAUUUAAUUGUUAUAACACUAACCGCUGGUAACAUUUUGAGAAGUGUUCCGAAACCAUAAAACGUAAAAAACACCACACUUUUCUAUUUCUAUUUUUCUUUCAUAUUUACAUGAUUUUAUUUACCAGUGACUAGAAAAGGAAGAAAUGAACAAUUUCUGUUUAUUACAAAAUAUUUUCAGUAUACAUACGUGUAGAUAUUUAAAUUAUAUUAUUUAAAAUUUUCCAAUCAGUAAAAUGUCAUCUAUAAAGAAGAACAUGUUUUGAACGCGCUUUGAAACGUCAAAUGUCAUUUUCCGCAAAAAAUGUAAAAAGAUAAAUACAAACCCAGGUCGUGUUGUUUUUCGUAUUUAUAUUUCUUAUAUGCAUAAGAUCAUUUUAUUAUUGAUAAUAAUGGGAAAUGGAGUCGUUUGUAUCGUAGCAAAGAAGAGGAAGCGUGCUACUAAUUGGGAUCCCUUGUGAUUAGGUUUAAACAUAAGGAUGAGCAGAUGAUAAGAAAUCAAGUUCUCAAUGAGAACUGUCGUAAAGGGUGAAAAUGAGGUAAAAAUGAAACACACGCUAGAAGUCCAUGGGUGGACACGAGCUGAACAAGAGCUUCGUCUAAGAAAUUGAAAAUAACAAAAUAUUUUAGUGGAAACUCAAAUAAAUAAAAUACAUUCUCAGUAUAAACUUGUUAUUUUAUUUUAAGGAAAUGUUUGUUAAAACUGUGUUCUUAUAAACAAUUGUCUUGCAAUUUGUCCAGUAAUAUUGUAUGAUGCCUGACCCUGUUGUUGAUGAAAUGGUGGCUGAUUACCAGUUUCAAACAUUUAAAGAAUGUACAGUACAGCAAGAGGAAGUAAAUGUUUGAUUUUUGACUCUUGCCAUGUAUGUUGGUUGCAUCGUCUUGUACUUCUUACUGCGCCCAUGCCCUGAGAGCUACACAAACUUGAAGCUCCACAGAGAAGCUGCCAGCUAUCUUUGUUUGUUCUAUGUCUUCUCGGAUCAAGUCCACCACUUCUCUGACAUAUCUCUUAGUAAACCUGUAUUUACCUUUACAUUCAUCUUCUUCGAAAAAAAAGGCAUCAAAUACGUGUUUUAUAAGGUUUUGUCUUUCUUGGUCGUUCCUCAUUGUCCAACUCGAGAAUAUUAAAAUGGCGCAGAUAUUCUUAGUAAUCCAUAAUAACCACUAAAUUAAAAUAUGUUACGAGAUAAGACACGACAAUAAGUUAUUUGUUGGUUAUUCACACGCUAAACAAGCUCAUUUGACUGAAUAAGGAUUGUGUAAAAUGACAUACACUUAUACAACUGUUAUAACGGGUGUAUAAGAUGACAACCCCUGUACAUUGAUUAUUAGUAAUGAAUAUGCUAUAACACGUGUAUACAGCGUGUAUACAGCGUGUAUAAAUGUUUAUUAGUAAGACC